CAAGGCUUGACAUAUACCGGAAAAGUUCAGAAAUGUUCUCCCCGCAAGGUCGGUAUACAGGUGGUGCAUGGUUGUCGUCAGCUCGUGUCGUGAGAUGUUGGGUUAAGUCCCGCAACGAGCGCAACCCUCGUUCUAUGUUGCCAGCACGUAAUGGUGGGAACUCAUAGGAGACUGCCGGGGUCAACUCGGAGGAAGGUGGGGAUGACGUCAAAUCAUCAUGCCCCUUAUGUCUUGGGCUUCACGCAUGCUACAAUGGCCGAUACAAAGGGCUGCAAUACCGUAAGGUGGAGCGAAUCCCAAAAAGUCGGUCUCAGUUCGGAUUGAGGUCUGCAACUCGACCUCAUGAAGUCGGAGUCGCUAGUAAUCGCAGAUCAGCAACGCUGCGGUGAAUACGUUCCCGGGCCUUGUACACACCGCCCGUCAAGUCAUGAAAGUCGGUAACACCCGAAGCCAGUGGCCUAACCGCAAGGAAGGAGCUGUCGAAGGUGGGAUCGGUGAUUAGGACUA
rnacentral:rRNA from 1 species